ACGUAACCUAUCUAUACUUUUAAAUAUCAUUGGCUGACUGUAUAUUUUAAUUGGCAUUGAUAAGUGUGUGGCGAUUGCAUCCACAUAAGUUGGAAACCCAGUAUUAUUUCGAGUGCGAACUGAUCACAUAAGAGAGAGGGAGACAGAUAUAGACGCCACCCACUUGACAACAAAGGACGCGAGUGGCGAAGAGAGACGCUAACUUUAUACCCGCGAGUGUCAUAGGCUUUAACUUGCAUUAUAUAAAUUAUAACUAAUAAGUCACGUAGCUAAACUUUAUUCUGUUAAUAUUCACGAGUGCAAACGCAAUAAACAAAAGUAAAGAUCAAGUCGGUGGUUUAAUUUACAAGCCCCGACACGACAUUGGUGACCCCGACGUGAUAUGCAGAGUAAGAAACGUAGAUGCUGAUGCCGUCUACAUCCGAAAAACUACAAGAAGCCUGGAGCCGCUGAUAUCUUUAUAACCUGGGUCGCCUACAGUCUGGAUUUUUAUUGUUGCAAUGCCCAGUCUAAGAUCUAGCAAGAGCCCAAGCAUACAACUGCCUAUGGAUCUGUUUCUUGCGUAAAUAAACAUACAAAUCUGAAAGAAAGCAUUUUAAAACAGAAAGUGAUGGAGGUUGAACAACAGCUUGCCCGGGUACAAACACCAAACACAACUCCUAGCAUUGCCGGUGUGUCCAUAAAACUACAAUUUUUUUGUAGAAAAGCCUGUUAUUUGGUUUGCGCCGGCAGAGGCACAGUUCCAAAUUUCUGCCAUAACACAGGAUGGCACUAAAUAUGGGCACAUAUUGUCUGUAUUAGAGGCCCUAGUUGCUGAAGAGGUGGAGGAUGUAAUAGGAAACCCACCAGCAGAAGGCAAGUAUGAUUCCUAAAAAAGGAACUUAGCAGACGCUUGUCCGACUCAAAGGUACAGCGUCCACGACAACUGCUGAUUGAGGAACAACUUGGAGACCCAAAGCCUAGUACAUUUCUCUGCCUCCUAAGAUCCUUGACUGGCACCUCUGUUGGUGAUGAAUGUAUCUUUCGGGAAUGAGAAUGUCGAUCUCCCUCUCAACAAAGUUGCUGAAAUUGCAGACAGCAUAGUUGAGACCUCACAUUCCCCUUCAGCAACAGUUCCCUCAGCUACUGCCUCUCCUGCUGACAAUCCAAACCUCAUGCGCCUCAUCGAAGAUUUGACUAGGAAGGUUAAUGCCCUUGCUACACGUAACAAUAUACAGUCUCGGCAUCCCAGGUCAAGUUCAAGGGUCAGGGUACAGUCCAGAUCCAGGUCCCAAACCGGUGAUCUGAUGUGUUGGUAUCACAAAAGGUUUCGGGAAAAGGCAAGUAAAUGUGUAAGCCCUUGCGCUUGGGAAUCCAAACACAAGGGAAACGCCACGAGCAAUCAAUAGUGCCGGAAACUGAUUGCACCUUAACUGGCCGCCGUUUAUUUGUUUUGGACUCGGAAUCAAGACGUCGGUUUUUUAUUGACACUUACUCCGAUCUCUGCUGUUUCCUACGCCAGUUCCUGAAGGGGCGGUACCAAGCAUCCAAUUAUGAGGUGCGCGCGGCAAGCGGUAGUUUAAUAAAAACUUACGGCACCACCAUUAUUUGCCUAAAUUUGGUUCUCUGCCGAGAAUUCAGGUGAUAUUUUGUGAUAGCGGAUGUUAGCACACCAAUCAUUGGUGAUGAUUUCCUUGCUUAUAUCACCUGUUGCCAGACUGCCGUGGCCAGCGUCUCAUAGAUGGCAGCACUAAGCUUUGUACACCUGCCACAAUUGCUCAAGUAAACCAAGCCAGCGUUAAGACUGUUUCCGCUGAGGAUUCACAAUUUAGCAGGAUCAUGCAGGAAUUCCCUGACAUCACUCAACCACCGGGUUUUCCAAGGACUAUGAAGCAUUCGACAGUUCACAUUGUCAUUGCCGAUGGGCCACCUGUUUCUUGCCGCCUUCACAGACCACACGCUUGACCACCUGGCCCGCAUAUUACCGUGAACUUCUCGCUGUAUAUGAAGCUGUGCAGCAUUUUAGACAUGUUAGAGUUGCAGCAUGUAACUAUUUACACGGACUAUAAGUCAUAUUUAAUUUAUGCUUUCCUGGAGGAGCGCUGCGAGAAAUUACCACCGGUUAAACCAAUUAAACCAGUUGUCCUUCAUCUCCGAAUUCACAAUGGGUAUCGUGCCCAUUAAGGGGAAGGAGAAUAUUGUGGCUAACACCAUGUCUCGCGUUGAGUCGCUCUCUCUUGAAGAGGAUUAUGCAUGGAUGAGGAACUACGGAAAAUGCAGUGUGAGUCAUCUCUUCAAUUGGAAAAGGUAUCAAUACCCGGAACUGAUGUCACCAUUUACUGUGACACUUCCACGGGCAAGUCAAGACCUUAUCUUCCAGAGUCUUUUCGACUACCUGCUUUCCAAAGACUACAUAACCUCAGCCAUCCUGGUGGGCAUGGAAGCGUUCGCCUGGUAGCUGAUCGCUAUGUCUGGCCUUUGAUCCGAAAAGGUUUCACGGCAUGUCCCAUCCCCUUAGAGUGAUUUUCUCAUGCCGACAGUACGUUUUCGACACAUACACAUUGACAUCAUUGGCCCUCUUCCGUAUUCCAAUGGGUUCUCGUACUGAAUUACGGCAGUGGACACGUACACCCGCUGGCCGAAAGCCUGGCCGAUGACGUCCUUUACAUUAGAGGAGAGGUUUGGCGUUCCCAAUAUGUUGACAAUCAUCAAUUAAAGGCUGCUUUGAUGUGUCACGAUGAAACAUGGUCCAAGGCACUCCCGCUGGUACUUCUUGGUAUGAUGUCAGCUCUUAAAAAGGACCUAAAAACUUGUGCUGCCGAAAUAUGUAACUUGUUGUGUCGCCGGAAGAAAUACUAGUGACAUGCUAGAUUUUGUGACGCAAUUGCGGAUCAAAAUGGAGUCCAUUAGACCUAAACCAGCAGCUCGCCACAAUAAGCUUUCCUCGUUUGUUUUCAAGAACCUAGCAUCCACAACUCAUGUCUUAUUGAGAGAUUAAACUGUGAGACAUCCUCUACAACAUCCUUACACAGGUCCUUAUAAGAUCUUAAAUAGAAAGGAUAAAACAAUAACGUUGGAUGUACGUGGCAAGCAGCUUACCGUUAGCAUAGACCGCGUCAAACCUGCCUGUUUGGAUUCACCACCUACAGAUAAAACAACCACAGGUCAAGAAGAUCCUCUCUUUAUGCCUCCAAUAUCCCCUCCCACUCUUUCAGAACCCUCGACAGCUGUUUCUCCUGCUCCUGUCAUCACGAGGACCGGGCGGAAAGUAAAAUUUAGAGAUAUUCUAGUAGACCAGUGCCGAAGCCUUUGAAAAUUAUAAAAAGUGAAACACAACUAAUCCUAGUUAAUACUAGGAUGAAACGCAUUGGAAAAGGACGAGAAUAUAACAAAAAUUAAGGGAAAAAUAAAUUACGUGCGAUCUGAGGUCGGGAAGUGGAAAAGGGGGGGUGUUUUAGGGUAAAAAAUGGUUUAUCUCGAUUUCCGACAAAACAUCAAGUCCUCAAACCUCACAGUUUAUGUGAAAAAUUCAAAAAAACAAGUUUUUGGUUUUUUUUAUUUUUAUCUUUUACAAAAAAAAAUUUUCACUAAAUAUUGUAAAAAGUGACCUUUUUAUGUCCCAAAUACACUGUAAUUUAUUUGAAUUGAAAUAUUUAAUUCUUCACCUUAUUUUGACUCAAAUAUCGGAAAAGAACCCUUAUUUUCAAUCAAAAAUUUACCCAUCCAAAUAUCAGCUUUUUUCAAAAAGUUUAUGUGCUUUCUAUUCGUUGAAAUCUUUACUUUCCAAUGGUGUAAAAAAAAUAUAAAUUACAAUAGUAAAUGUUCGGAAAAUUUAUGGCCAUCAAAAGGCAUUUCAUAAAGAAUUCACACCUGUUAUUAAGUAGCAGCAGAAAUAUGGAUUUUUGAAUUUUUCACAUAAACUUUGAGCUUAUGUAAAACAAGUGUAAAUACAAAAGUUGUAGAUCUCUUUGUCUCUCUUGUAAUCCUACAACUUUACCGAUCAACUUUUUGCCAUAGGACUUGUAGUUUUGCCGGAAAUUGAGAUAAACCGUUUUUUACCCUAAAACACCCCCCCCCCCCCCCUUUUCCACUUCCCGACCUCAGAUCGCCCGUAAUUUAUUUUCCCUUAACUUUUGCUAUAUUCUCUUCCUUUACCAAUGGGUUUCAUCCUACUAUUAUUUUUUUUUGGUUUCAAAAAUUAUCGACCCUGGUCUAUAGUUUUAUAAUUAUAAUCUGUGUUCGUAUACAUUAUUUUUUUCAUCUCUUAUAUUCAUUACAUUUUUUGUUGUUCUUUUCGUGUAUCUUUUUAAAUAGGCAGAUAUACAUUUAAUUUUUUUGUGUGAUAUGUUUUUAAUAUUGUUUAAUGUUAUUAAUGUGAAUUUUCUUAAUAUUGUGUAAUGUUAUUAAUGUAAUUUUUUUUAAAUAUUGUGUAAUUAAUUAAUUUUUGCUUUCCUUGUGCAAGCUUAUUCUCUCCGUUGGGGGUGGUGUGGCGACUGCAUCCACAUAAGUUGGCAACCCAGUAUUGUUUGGAGUGCCAACUGAUCACAUAAGAGAGUCAUAGGCUUUAACUUGCAUUAUAUAAAUAAUAACUAAUAAGUCACGUAAAUAAACUUACUUUUGUUAAUAUUCACGAGUGCAAACGCAAUAAACAAAAGUGAAGAUCGA